UUAAACCUUCUUUAAGACAUGUCACUCAAAUGACAAUCUUGGAGUAUGACUCUAAGACUUGUAUUGGAACGAAGUAUGACUCAUCUUCUUGAUUUAACCAUUUCAACAAUUCAAGUUCCUCUUCUUAGUCAUAAGAAUGCACUAAGAUUUCCUUAGAGAACUAAUUUUGAUAUGGUUUCUUAAUCAUUAAGAUGAUCACAAAACUGAUACUAAAGUACUCUCCCAUCUUUUCAGAUUUGAGAAACUUUUAUCCUUCUGCCUUAUUUGAUUCUUCUUAUCGAUCUUUAGUGGUGGACUUAAUCAGUGCACAAGAAUGUGUACUCGAUCCCUAAGUCCUUUACUUGACUCACACAUCCAUGUGAACAAGUAAUUAGUCUUAAUUUUCCAAAACUUGAAAGUUCUCAUUCAUCAUGCUAUACAACUUGCAUGAUUCCAAGUUCCGGUCCAAUUGAAACUUGGGUGAUGAGAAUCUUUCCUUAUUUGGUAAAUUUAGACAUUACCACAAAUGAAAGAAUCAAUUUCAUACUUCCACUCUUGCUACUAAUGGAAUCUUAUAAGCAACAAAAAUUUCCACAGAUGCCAUUGUAAGGAUAUUUUAAAAUAAAUAAAAUCAAAAAUUUCCUUUUAUUUUAAAACUUUGCGGAAAAACUAUCCUUACAAUCCAUAUGAAAACUUGUUGUUAUCUAUUCCUAAGCAAUAUCUCAUAACUCCUAAGAAGUAGCUCAAGAAUCCGAUUUUUCAAACUAUGCGAUAGAAAUCCAUCUAUGCGAUCAGAUUCAGCAUAUUCUUCCUUUAAGUUUCUUCACUUUCCUUUGAUUCUUAAACCAUCACCAUGCGACCCGGUCACAUCAUGUAUCAAGAAUCUCAGAAUAGAAACUUAACAGAGUUAGAUAGUGGAUUUUACCUGAAGUAGAGUCAAACUUAUUGACUUUAACAUCCUUAGGUAAAUUUGGCAGCUUCGCAACCAAUGCCCUUUCUUUGGCAAUACAAACAUAUGGACCCUUUGAUAAUGGUACACAGGACUAUCACAGACUUAGCUUUUCUCUUUACCAUUUGGUCAACCGAGUUGACUAUAGCCGAUCCCUUUCCAUUGGGAAGAGAAUGCUUUACUGGAUAUCCAAUGUCAUCAUUGUCAAUGUCCAUAAAGUUUUAGGAAGUUGAUCUUAGCAAAUAGAUAAGAUCAUUAAGGGUCUUGUCAUAGUCUGUUUCAUAGGUGUCCCAAAGGAACUCACUAUGUGACUUAGAAAGUGGUUGAACCACCAACUUUCUCAAGACUUUGACACCCAACUCUCCCGGCUUGUCAAUAUGUGACUACAUCUCCAAGAUGUGACCACACCUAGACCUUGCCUUGCCAAUAGGGCCUGAGUGACCUUAAACUUUUCAAGAACUUGUGGGUUAGGGAGAAUAAUUUGAAGAGGUGAAGAAGUAUGAUAUCCAUGGGACAUCAUCUUCAUUAGGAAACCUUGUUUCAAGAGAUUUGGGAAGAUCAUAGGUGUCUAAACCAGACAUCUUUUGGGAGAUAUUCAAGAUAGUUGAUUUAAAGUCCUUAAUAUGACACCCAAUAUGAAAUAUUAAGGCUAGGACCCAACAAACUAUUUUAUAACUUAGAAGAGGUAUGCCGUAAUCCAAGCUAUAAAAUAUUUGAAGGUAGGUGAAUGACGAUUCACCAAUUUCCACCAAGAUAAACGAAAUGUAUUAUUAGGUUUUAAUUGGUUUUGAAACUCCUAGAUCUUUGAGAUUCAUUGAACUUUUCAAAGGCAUGUUUCAAUCUCGAGUGUGCCCUUCAGGUUUUGUGACUGGGAUGCCGAGGAUCACAAAACAAGGUGUGAAGUAACCAUGCAAAUCACUUGGUACCCUUAAUAAAUUACCCCUCAAUCGAUGUGCCGGUUAACCACACACGCUCCAUCGAUACUAUGAUAAAUAUUAAGUCACCCUUUACCUACCUUGUUAAGUCCAAGUUAGUGUGCCGGUUAACCACACACGCUCCACUAACGACUUAGACAAAGUGUAAAGUGUAAUUUCAUGGAUUAGCACCUUAUUCACAUUUUUCCUAAGUAACUAAGAUUGGGUAUUAUUAAGAGUUUAGUUACUUAGUAUUAUCAUUAAUACUUUUAAUGAAGGGAGAAUUCUAGUCCUGUCAAACCCGUUCGGCUAACGACCCUCCACCAGUCAAGCAAGCGGUGGGUGAGAGUGGACACCCAUUAAGUUGCCAUUUUAUAGGCAACAACCUUAUACCCACCUUAUAGACCGGCUUCGUGAAUGAGGCGUACUAGCGGUAAGACUGACUUUACUCUUAUACAUAUAUAUAUUAUUAACUUAUAAUAUUAUAAAGUAUAAGGGUUGAAUUUUAACUUUUAAAAUUCUAAGGGCUAACUUGGAAUUAAAGUAUUCAUAAGUGAAAACUUUACAAAUUCCAAAACUUGAGGGCAAGUUUUGAAACUAUUCAAAACUAAUUAAUUCCAUAACUUAUGUGUUUAAAGUAGUUUUAAUCCAAAAACUCUUCAAGUUCCAUAACUUGAGGACAAGUUAUGGAAGACUUUAAACUAAUAAAAGAAUUAACUUUUCUUUAUUUUAUAACUUAUGGAAUUAAUUAAGGUUACACCUUUUUUUAUUUUAUUUUAUUUUAUUAAAUGAAGAGACUCUUGGUCCUCCAUAACUUGAGGACAAGUUAUGGAGUCAUAAAACCAUUUAAUUAGAACUAGACUCUUCAUUUUUGUAACCUUUGCCAAUUUUUAUGAGUUUUAUGAUUCUUAAAUGUGACUUUUCAUAUAACUUGAGGACAAGUUACAAAAACACAUUUUAGAAUCAAUUCUUAGAUUAAUUUGGAUUAAAACCAACUAUCACAUAAUUUUAUUCAUUAAUCUAAAUUCACUCAUAAAACAAGGUAACACAAAAAACUUUUGGUGAUCCAUAACUUAUUCUUAAGUUAUGGAAUCCUUUAAAACAUUAACACCAAAUUUUGUAACUCCAAAAAAACUUUGAAUUAAUUUUUUUUUUAAAACCUUUUCAUAUCCAUAACUUAUGGAGGUUUCAAAAAAUAAAACUCUUUAGAUCAAACUUUUAAAACUAAUAAAAUAAUCAUAUUAUUUUAUCUUUUAUUAAAUUUGACCUAAUUCAACUCAUAAAGCAAAUUAUUCAAAUUUUACAAAUAAUUAGUUUUUCACAAGAACAAGUAAUUAUCUUAAAAUUUGACGAACUUCAUGUUUUUUUUUUUUUUUUUUUUCAACUUUGAAAAUAAAAUAUUUGCAUCAAUAUAACAGAAAACAACCCGUGGCUCUGAUACCACUGUUGGGUUUUGAGCAUUCUAACACUUCCUAAGUGUACAUGCAACCCUAAAUACCUUGGAUCUAUGUUUUCUCUAUUAUACAUGCAAAUAAGAACUUCCAAGGUAUUAUUCUAAUCUAGCAUACAAAACAAUAACUAUAGCAAGAUAGAAUACAUACCUCUUUGGUGUAGACAAUCUUCAUGUAGCUUGAGUGCCUAGUGCCCCAAGUGUGACACCUCAAAUGGAAUCACAAUCAUCAAAACACUUGGAAUGACUUGAGAGAAUUCUACACUCUUCAAAAUCGGCUAGCCCUUUCUUCACUAUCUCUAGUGGCCGAUUUUUCCUCAAUAAUAAGAUGCUUAUAUAGUUACACAAUUAGGGUAAACUCUUAAUUGUCAUGGCUUUCCAUUUCCUUGGAUCCAUGGGUACAAAUACACCAUGGAGCAUCCAUGGACCAUCCUAUGGGUUUUAGCCCAACUUGAUUAUCCAUGGAGCAUUAGCCCACUAUACAAGUAUGGAUGAUUUACACAAUCAACCCAUAUAUUUAAUUAGUCUUCUUUUGAUCACUUAAUUAAUCCUAGAUUAAUUCUUGAUCAAUACUAAUUAAAUAAUCUUAUUAUUCUUAUUAUUAAUAUACUAGAACUUAUAAUAUAUUAAUAACCAUAAGUGUCUUAUUUCUCUCAUUCAAGUGCAUGAUGGUAUGCAACCCAAAUGGACCAUGCCGGGUCGGGUCAAGUCUUACCAAUUAUAGUUAUGGACUUAGACAUUAAUCCAACAAAAACAACACGCCGUGGUCAAAAAACAUUUCUCGAUCUGAAAAGAAAAGUUACGACACCACGAUAUAACAAGAAGCUCAUGACGUGGUGACUGACGAAAAGCCAAAAAUAGAGCUUAAAGCCUUACCCGAGCACCUGGAGUAUGCAUUCUUCAAAGAUGGGCAACAAAAACCAGUACUUAUAGCAUUUAAUCUAGCUAAACAUGAAAAAGAAAGCCUUGUGGGAGUACUAAAGAAAAGACAAGGUGCAUUAGCAUGGAAGAUAAUCGAUAUCAAGGGAAUUAGCCCAGCCUAUUGUUCUCAUAAUAUCAACCUAGAAGAAGGAGCUCAACCCAUAGUUCAACGCCAAAGAAGACUUAUCCCAAAUAUGCAAGAAGUGGUUAAAAAGGAGGUGGCUAAACUUUUAGAUGAUGAUAUCAUUUACUUAAUCUCUGAUAGCCCAUGUGUAAGUCUGGUGCAAGUGGUACUGAAGAAAGGAGGAACGAUAGUGUUUACCAAUUAAGAUAACGAGUUAAUCCCAACAAGAACAGUAACCGAGUGGCGUGUUUGCAUCAACUAUCGAAAGCUUAAUGAUGUUACAUGCAAGGAUCACUUUCUGCUACCAUUUAUUGACUAAAUGCUCGAAAGACUUUCGGUCAUCUUUACUAUUGUUUUCUUGAUGGUUUCUCGGGGUACUUCCAAAUUCCAGUUGAUCCACAAGACCAAGAAAUACCACUUUUACAUGCCAGAGUGGGACGCUUGCAUACAGACGCAUGCCUUUUGGGCUAUGCAUUGCAUUGCCUACAUUCCAAAGGUGCAUGAUGGCUAUCUUCCACAACAUGAUCGAGAAAUUUAUGGAAGUUUUCAUGGAUGACUUCUUGGUUUUUGGGUCCUCUUUUGAAGAUUGUUUAUCAAACUUACACCUAAUGUUAGCAAGAUGUGAGAAGACAAAUCUAGUCCUAAACUGGGAAAAGUGUCACUUCAUGGUAAAGGAAGGGAUUGGGUUAGGACACAAAGUCUCAAGGUUGGGGAUAGAGGUAGAUAGAGCAAAAGUUGACAAGAUAGCUACAUUACCACCCCCAACAAAUGUAAAAGGGGUAAGGAGCUUUCUUAGCCAAGCGGGAUUUUAUCAUCGUUUCAUUAAGACUUUUCGAAGAUCAUGAGGCCUUUCACUCAACUUCUUUUAAAGGAUGCCCCAUUCAACUUUUCUAAGGAAUGUCAUGAAGCAUUUCAAAUGUUAAAGGAAAAGUUGAGCACUACUCCUAUUAUGAUAGCACCAAAUUGGAGCCACCCUUUCGAGCUUAUGUGUGAUUCUAGCAAUUAUGUCGUGGGAGUUGUUUUGAACCAAAUAAUUGACAAACAUUGUCAGCCUAUUUAUUAUGCUAGCAAAACCUUGAACCCAACUCAAGAGAAUUACACCACUACCGAGAAGGAGCUGCUCACGGUGGUUUAUGCUUUUGAUAAAUUUCGCCCAUAUCUAUUCUUGUCAAAGACAAUUGUAUUUACCUACCAUACAACCCUAAAGUAUCCCUUUGCUAAACAAGAUGCUAAACCAAGAUUAAUAUGUUGGGUAUUACUUUUACAAGAAUUUGACAUUGAGAUUAGAGACAAAAAGGGAAUGGAAAACGUAGCAACGAAUCACUUAUCGCGACUAGUGAACCUACACUUGGAAGAAUUAUAAGAAAACAAGAUUGGAGAUGAUUUUCCCGAAGAGUAUCUUAUGGUUAUAGCAGGAGAAAUACCUUCGUAUGCAGAUUUAGCCAACUAUUUAGCAAGUGACUAUAUUCCAAAAGAUUUGACGAGAUAAAAAAAGAAGAAAUCCUAUUCUGAAAUUAAGUAUUACUUUUGGGAUGAGCCAUACCUAUUUCGAAGCUACGCGGACGGUAUGAUAAGAAGAUGUGUAUUCGGGAAGGAGAGUCGAGAAAUCUUGAACCAUUGUCAUAACUGAUGGGUUUUAGCCAUAAGAACUUUCCUAUGUGCGCAUGCAAAACCCUAAUGCUUGGAUCUAGGCUUUCUAAUUAAACAUGCUUUGAAUCCAAGACUUCUAAUGACUAAUUAGGUUAAAUAACAACAUUGAAACAGAUUUAGAACCAUACCUUUGAAUUCCUUGUUGAUCUUGUAGUCUUGGAGCUUCUAGAGUCACAAAUGUCACUCCUCUAAUGGCUUACAAACACCAAUAGCAAGGAAGAUGAUUUGGGAGAGAGGAGAGGGGAGGAAUUUCGGCCAGAGGUUCUCUAUUCUAGAUGGAGUGCCGAAUUCCCUCAGCCUUGGGGUCUAUUUAUACUUGUAGACUCCUUAAGGGUUACAACCUAAACCCUAUUGGAUAAUCUUCUCUUAAGGCUAUCCAAAUCCUUUCCUUAGAUAACACCAUGGACGAUUUUGAAGCUAUCUAGCUUUUAGAAUCCGUCCCUUGUAUAUCUAUAAGGAUUUACAGUCUAAAGCUUAACUAUCAAACAAUUGACAGUUUAUACCCCUUUAUUUAAUUAAUCUCUUUAAGUCACCAAAUUAAUUCUAAUUAAUUCUAUGACUUAUAUUAAUCAAAUAACAAAUAUAUUAUUCAUUAUAUUAUUCUCAUAAUAUAUUAAUAAUAUUUACUCUCUCUUAAUAAAUCAUCCUAUCAAGUUGCUAUGGUGAAGGCAACCCAAAAGGACCAUGCACAACCGGAUCAAAUACUUGCCUAAUAUAGUUACAGCCUUAGACACUAUUCCAACAGUCUCCCACUUGGAUAAGUCUAGUAACUAUACAAGUACAAUUCGGUUUGCAAUCGUAGCUCUCAAAGACGCUGUCAACUCUGAUCUAAUCAAUCUUGUCCUUUAGAUAAGGGAACGUACAGUCCUCUGUUAGAUAUCAUGCUGACAAUCCUAUGGAAUGGUUAGUCAAGCAUUUAGGUUUCUCGAUCUCUGAUUUAUUUGACAUAGAACUUAAUCGAACACAUCAAUUCAGUUCUGACCGGGCCCGGCACAUAAGUCAAAUCAAAUCAUCGAGCGGCCGAGAUAUCGCUUUUACCUUCUUAGAUAAAAGUUACAGAUAAACUUCGACUUAUAUGCAUUUACUUAUUCAUUUACCAACUAUACACAACAAUACGUUUUAUAACACCAAGUUACUGAUGCGUUUUCGUAUUAUCAAUGUACAAUCAAUUAACAAAUAAUAAACCAUAUAUCUAGGUUUUAAGACUAUAUGAUAUUAUCGUCUUGCGAUCACCUUUUAUAUCGUAUUCCAUAAGGUGAUUCCAGCAAGCGCGGGUUUAUUCCAAUGCUCAAAACUAGUUCAUAAGCACUCAUGAACGUUGCAGCAAUCCUUUGCUAUGUCUAACACCAUUUAGACAUUCUACACACCAAUUCAUGACAAUCUUCAUUCAUAUCUACUCCCAACAUAUGAACGAUUGUGGACCAUUUGAACAAUUCGAUUAUUCCUAAUAAACUCAAUUAUUCUGGAAGUCAAAACAUGCAAAGUGAAACAAUAGCUAAACAAUUAACAUAAGAUAGUAACAUUACUCAUAAAUAAAACUCCUUUAUUUAAUCAUCAAAUGUUAAUUACAUUUAUCUAUUACACGUUUCUAAUACUAUCUAAUCUAUGCUAAUAUCAUCCUUCAGCCCAAUACUCCUAGCAUGCUGCAAGUGCUUAACCCUACUCAGUCCCUUCGUAAGCGGAUCUGCUGGGUUAUCUUCUGAUGAUAUCCUCUUCACUACGAGUUGUCCUUCUUCUACACGAUGUCUAAUGAAGUGAUACUUUCUGUCGAUAUGUCUUGAUCUACCAUGAUCCCUCGGUUCCUUGGUUAAGGCAACCGCGCCUUCGUUAUCACAGAAAAUCUCCAUUGGCUCCUUUAUGGCAGGUACAACUCCAAGAUCACCGAUGAAGUUCUUUAGCCAUAUUGCCUCCUUCGACGCUUCGCUCGCUGCAAUGUACUCUGAUUCGCACGUUGAAUCAGCUACGGUUUCCUGCUUGGAACUCUUCCAUGUCACUGCUCCUCCAUUUAGGGUAAAGACCCAGCCCGACUGCGAACGGUAGUUGUCCCUGUCGGUCUGAAAACUGGCGUCACUAUACCCUCGCACCUUCAAGUCAUCACUCCCUCCGAGGACUAAGAACCAUUCCUUCGUCCUCCGAAGGUACUUAAGGAUAUUCUUCACCGCAAUCCAAUGUGCUUUGCCAGGAUUCCCUUGAUAUCUGCUAACCAUGCUCAAAGCGAAGGCUACAUCAGGGCGAGUACAAGUCAUAGCGUACAUGAUUGAGCCAACUGCGGAAGCGUAUGGUACUCGGCUCAUUUCUGCUAUCUCAGCUUCGGUACUCGGACUUUGAGUCUUACUCAAUUUGGCAUUACUUUGUAUCGGUAGUUCUCCCUUCUUUGAGUUUUCCAUACUAAAACGUUUUAGUACCUUCUCUAAGUAAGUAUUCUGACUAAGUCCAAUUAGUCUCUUACUUCUUUCUCUUACUAUCCUUAUUCCCAAAAUGUAAGAAGCCUCUCCGAGGUCCUUCAUAGCGAAGCACUUCCCGAGCCAGGACUUAACCUCCUGCAGAGUCGGGAUGUCGUUUCCUAUGAGUAAUAUGUCAUCGACAUAUAGAACGAGGAAGCUUACUAUACUCCCACUGGCUUUGACAUAUACACAAGAUUCGUCUUCGCUUCGUACAAAUCCAAACUCUUUGACUUUCUCAUCGAAGCAAAGAUUCCAUCUGCGAGACGCUUGCUUAAGUCCAUAAAUGGACUUCUCAAGCUUACACACUCUAUCCGGAUGCUUCGGAUCCACAAACCCCUCUGGCUGAGCCAUGUAAACAUCCUCAGCCAACUUUCCGUUAAGGAAAGCGGUCUUGACAUCCAUUUGCCAAAUCUCAUAAUCAUGAAAUGCGGCAAUAGCUAGCAUCACUCUAAUAGAUUUAAUCUUCGCAACUGGUGAGAAGGUCUCAUCAUAGUCAACUCCGGGAGUUUGAGUAAAGCCCUUCGCAACCAAUCGCGCUUUAUAUGUGUGUACGUUUCCAUCCACGUCGGUCUUCUUCUUGAAGAUCCAUUUGCACCCAACGGUCUUACGUCCGGGCACAUAAUCAACCAAAUUCCAAACUUGGUUAUCAUACAUGGAUUGGAUCUCGCUAUCCAUUGCCUCUUUCCAUUUUGCAGACUCCGGGCCUGCCAUGGCUUCCUUAUAGCUAUUAGGUUCAUCAAGAUUUACUAGUGUACCAUCACUAAUAUACGUGUCCCCUUCGGUAGUAAUAUGAAAGCCAUAAAACUGGGGAUGAACUCUAACUCUAUCGGAACGUCUAAGAGGUAAGGAUUCGUCAAUCGGUUCAACCGGAGUUUCCUCCUCGGGUUGAGUGCCAGCGGUAGAGGUUCCUUCAUCUAUCGACUCUUGAAUCUCUUCAAGUUCGAUUUGCCUCCCACUGUCUCCUUGGCUUAUGAGUUCUCGCUCUCGGAAAACUCCUCUCCUCGCAACGAAGACAACAUUGUCCUUCGGUCUAUAGAAGAGAUAUCCAAAGGAUGUCUGCGGGUAGCCGAUGAAAAUACAUCGCUCACUUCGAGGUUCAAGCUUGUCGUGAGUAUCUCGUCUUACGAAAGCCUCGCAACCCCAAACCUUGAUAUGUGCCAACGAGGGAGCUUUCCCUGUCCACAUCUCGUGAGGUGUUUUGGCAACCUUCUUAGUAGGGACUCGGUUAAGGAUAUGGGCGGCAGUCUCUAAGGCAUACCCCCAAAAAGAGAUUGGUAGUGAAGCACGACUCAUCAUAGAGCGAACCAUAUCCAAUAAGGUUCGAUUACGCCUUUCUGCCACACCAUUCAACUGCGGUGUCCUAGGAGGCGUCAAUUGUGAAACUAUUCCACACUCCUUGAGAUAAUCGUGGAAUUCAAGACUUAGGUACUCUCCUCCUCGAUCGGAUCGAAGCAUCUUGAUUUUCCUGCCCAAUUGAUUCUCCACUUCAUUCUUGAACUCUUUGAACUUUUCAAAGGUGUCUGACUUUUGCUUGAUUAAGUAGAUAUACCCAUAUCUACUAUAGUCAUCGGUAAAAGUCACAUAGAAGCGGUUCCCAUCCUUCGUGGUUGAUCUAAACGGUCCACAUACAUCGGUAUGUAUUAGGUCCAAUAGACCCUCGCCCCUUUCACAUGUACUCGUGAAGGGUGACUUAGUCAUCUUUCCAAGCAAACAAGACUCGCAUGUGUCAUCUUCCCUAAGGUCGAAUGACUCCAACACUCCAUCCUUUUGGAGUUGGGCUAUGCGUUUCUUGUUGACAUGUCCAAGACGACAAUGCCACAAGGAUGCUUUAUCCAUACUAGUGGAAGAAUCAAUAUUCAAAACAUCAUUUCCUAAGUUAUCAACAAUCAUAACGGUUUCAUAUAUUCCAUUACAUGGUAUAGCUUCAAAGUAAAAGACACCAUUUAGAUAAGCCAAAAUAGAACCAUUCUCAUUAUUAAAAGAAAAUCUAAAUCCUUGUCUAUAUAAACCAUGAAAUGAAAUGAUGUUUCUUGCCAUUUCUGGCGAAUAGCAACAAUUGUUCAAAUCUAAAACUAAACUAUUCCUAAGCACUAAGGAAUACACUCCAAUCUUGGUCACAGGCGACGAUCUUCUGUUCCCCAUGAUUAGAUUGAUCCUUCCUUGCUCCACAUCCCUACUUCUUCUUAGUCCCUGCACAUUAGAACAAAUGUGAUAACCACAACCGGUAUCAAGAACCCAAGAAAUAGCAUGAUUAGAAUCGUUAGAUUUGAUUGUAUAUAUACCUGCGAAAGAUGGCUUGAUCUUUCCUUCUUUGAUUGCUUGCAGGUAAUCCGGGCAGCUUCUCUUCCAAUGUCCUAUCUUGUGGCAGUGGUGGCACUCUGCCUCCUUCGGGUUAGAGCAGGGCUUAGCGGGAUCAACUUUGGUCCCACUAGAAGAGGCACCAUCUCGGGCUUUCACCUUGCGAUAGUUCUUCGAUGAAGCUUUCCUCUUCUUUCCCUUCCCUUGUCCAAUAGCCAAGACAGGAGCAGCGGGCGGAUUGGGAGUAGGUGCAACAGACUUGUCUUUGAAGUUGCUCUCAGCAACCCUCAAGAGACCUUGGAGCUUGCUUAGGGUGACCUCUUCUUUGUUCAUGUGGUAGGUCAUCCUAAAUUGAUUGUACAUCGGAGGCAAAGAGUGAAGCACCAUGUCGAUCGCCAAAUCCUCACCGAAGUCAACAUUUAACUUGCGAAGGCGGUCGACAUACCUUUGCAUCUUUUGCAAGUGCACGGUAAGAGAUUCUCCAUGACCCAUCUUCGCGGAAAUCAUGUUAGUGAAAAUCUCGUACCUCUCUUGUCUCGCGUUUUGGUGGUACCUCUCCAAUAAGUCUUGGUGCAUCUCGUACGGGUACAUGUCCUCGUAGGACUUUUGGAAUUCGGAGUUCAUGGUGGCAAUCAUGAUGCAAUGUACCUUCGUUGCAUCUCGCUCAUGAGUCUCAAAAGCGGUGAUUUCGGCCGGAGUAGCGAUUUCGGGGUUGAUUUUCUCGAGCUUCUCAUCGAGGACAUACUCCUUAUCCUCAUAGCGAGCAAUGGUGCGAAUGUAUCUUAUCCAUUCGCUAAAGUUCGUUCCAUCGAAGGUGACCUUUUGGCAAAGGCUCAUCAACGUGAAAGAACUAGCAGCAGCGUUGUUUGCGUUCGACAUCUACAAUUAGAAAAGGACAAAGAUAGAUUAGAAUAAGAAUCCCUAAUUAUCACCCAAUAAGAAAAUUAGGGCUAGGAUCCAACAAUAACAUUUACAUACUAGAAAAGGGAUGCCGUAAUCUAACAUGCAAAUAAAUUGAAGGUAAGUGAAUGACGAUUCACUAAUUCUCCAUCACAAAACUUAAACUAUUAGUCCUAAGUGUUUUUGAGAAUUCCUAGGUUCGGAUGAGAUUCAUUGAAACUAUUCAAUGGCAUGUUUAAAUCUCGAUAUGCCCCUCUUGUUUGUGACUGGGAUGCCGAGGAUCACAAAGCGGGUGUGAAUUACCAUGCAAAUUCACAUGGUGCCUUCAUUGUAACGAUCACCUAUUCGAUGUGCCGGUAAACCACACACGCUCCAUCGAACUAUGAUAAACAAUGAAUCACCCUUUGCCACCUUCGCUUAGAACCAAUUAGUGUGCCGGUAAACCACACACGCUCCACUAACAUCUUAGCAAGGUGCAAAGUGUAAUUUCAUGGGAUUGCAUCAAUUCACUUUUCCUAAAGUAACUAAGAUUGGGAAAUUUUAAAAUAUGUGUAGUUACUUUGUAUUUCUUAUUAUACUUUUAAUGAGAGGAUGAGGUUGCCCUAUCCUACCCGUUCGGCUAACGACCCUCCACCAAUCAAGCAAGCGGUGGGUGUGAGUGUACACCCAUUAAGCGCCAUUUUAUAGGCCGCAACCUUAUACCCACCUUAUAGAUCGGCUUCGUGAAUGAGGCCUACUAACGGUAAGACUAGCAUUUAGUUAUAUAUAUAUAUAUAUAUUAUUCUAGUAAUAUCAUAUUAGUAUAGGGUUGUAUUUUAAAACUUUUAAAAUCUAGGGUUUGAAAUUUAAGUUGUCUAAAUUAAAACUUUUAAUCACAAAUAUAAAUUUCAAAACUUGAGGGCAAGUUUUAAACAUUUAAAACAUGGAGGAUCAAAUAACAAAUAAUUCCAAUUAACAAUUAAUAUCCUAAUUAUCUAUAUUUGAUUUUAUUCAAGAUUUCUUUGAAAGAUAAUUACCAAAAUAAUUAAAAUAAUUAAUUAAUUAUCAUAUAAGGAAAUUAAAUAUUUUAUUAGUUGAUAAAUACCUUUAACUAGAUCAAGAUAAUAGUCAUAUAUAUCAAAAAAUCGGAUUUAGAUUGAUCUAUUAUGAUUAAGGUAAGUUUCCAUAAGAUAAUUAUGAAAAAAUCCCGAAUCUGGCCAUUCCUGACGCCUGGACUCGCCGAGUGCACAAAGGGACUCGCCGAGUCAGGCCUACUCGCCGAGUCCACUUUGGAACUCGCCGAGUCCAUGACUCAGAAACCAAAAAAUCGAAUUUUGCAGGUUUGUUUCAGUUAAUCAAGCAACAAUUUAAAGAAAACCAAGCUAGGCUCUGAUACAACUGAUGGGUUUUAGCCAUAAGAACUUUCCUAUGUGCGCAUGCAAAACCCUAAUGCUUGGAUCUAGGCUUUCUAAUUAAACAUGCUUUGAAUCCAAGACUUCUAAUGACUAAUUAGGUUAAAUAACAACAUUGAAACAGAUCUAGAAUCAUACCUUUGAGUUCCUUGUUGAUCUUGUGGUCUUGGAGCUUCUAGAGUCACAAAUGUCACUCCUCUAAUGGCUUACAAACACCAAUAGCAAGGAAGAUGAUUUGGGAGAGAGGAGAGGGGAGGAAUUUCGGCCAGAGGUUCUCUAUUCUAGAUGGAGUGUCGAAUUCCCUCAGCCUUGGGGUCUAUUUAUACUUGUAGACUCCUUAAGGGUUAUAACCUAAACCCUAUUGGAUAAUCUUCUCUUAAGGCUAUCCAAAUCCUUUCCUUAGAUAACACCAUGGACGAUUUUGAAGCUAUCUAGCUUCUAGAUUCUGUCCCUUGUAUAUCUAUAAGGAUUUACAGUCUAAAGCUUAACUAUCAAACAAUUGACAGUUUAUACCCCUUUAUUUAAUUAAUCUCUUUAAGUCACCAAAUUAAUUCCAAUUAAUUCUAUGACUUAUAUUAAUCAAAUAACAAUAUAUUAUUCUUUAUAUUAUUCUCAUAAUAUAUUAAUAAUAUUUACUCUCUCUUAAUAAAUCAUCCUAUCAAGUUGCUAUGGUGAAGGCAACCCAAAAGGACCAUGCACAACCGGGUCAAAUACUUGCCUAAAAUAGUUGCAGCCUUAGACACUAAUCCAACAAUAACGGGCCCACCCGAGGACAACAUGGAGCACAAUAUACGGCUAAAAUGAUUUUUGAUACAUGUUUUUAUUGGCCAACAAUUUUUAAAGAUGUCGCUCAAUAUGUCAAGGAGUGUGAUUCAUGCCAAAGGUCGGGAAAUAUUUCAUCCUGAAAUGAGAUGCCCCAAAAUAGCAUUCAAGUUUGUGAGAUAUUUGAUAUAUGGGGGGAUUGACAUUAUGGGACCUUUCUCAAUGUCUAAGGGAAAUAAAUAUAUAUUGGUGGCAGUAGAUUAUGUAUCCAAAUGGGCGGAAGCACAAGCAUUACCUUCUAAUGAUGCUCGUGUGGUGGUACACUUCCUAAAGAAAUUGUUUUCAAGAUUUGGUGUUCCUAAGGCUCUAAUUAGUUAUCGGGGAACGCACUUUGCAAAUGAUCAAUUAGCUAAGGUGUUACAAAAAUAUGGUGUACACCAUAGGUUUUCAACAAUAGCAUCCACAAACAAGUGGGCAAACCGAAGUUACAAAUCGGGCAUUAAAACGUGUAUUGGAGCGAUCGGUUGGAGGUUAUAAAAAAUAGUGGUCAGAUAAGCUUGAUGAUGCUCUUUGGGCAUUUCAAACGGCUUUUAAAUACCUAUUGGUACUACACCAUAUAGGUUGGUCUAUGGAAAUAAUUGCCAUUUGCCGGUUGAAAUCGAGUAUAAAGCAUUUUGGGCUUUGAAAAUUCAUAAUUUUGAACUAAACGAACUUCGUGCCAAUCGAUUGAUGCAAAUGAAUGCCCUUGAAGAACAUAGAAAUGAAGCAUACACUAGUUCAUUAAUAUAUAUGGACAAGACAAAGAAAUGGAAUGACAUGAGACUAAAAGGUCAUAAAGAUUUUCAGGAAGGAAAAAAGGUGCCACUCUUCAAUUCAAGGUUAAAGCUUUUCCUAGGAAAAUUACAAACUAGGUGGGACGGGCCUUUUGUUGUUAAACAAGUUUUCCCACAUAGAGCUAUUGAGCUUAUAUCAAGAGACGGAAUCCCUUUCAAAGUUAACGGACAUAGAGUGAAACAUUAUGAAGAAGGAAUGCCAAUUGAAGAAAAAGAAGGGGAAAUCCUCACAUUCACACUAGCUGAAACAACUUGAAGCGGGAAGGAUUUCGUCUUAUGACUCCCCAAAAAGAAGCACUUGACACUACGCAACAAACUGAGUCGGACUCGACUGAAUUCUGGAAUAUUUGGGGCACCAACUAAUGUAUGAAGCUGCUAGGCGUGACUCCUCACUUAACGAUGCAAACAAACAUUCUAAAAAUUUCUAAAAGAUCACUUCUCUCGUCGUUUCUAAUCAAUCUCUAUAAAGUAUCUCCUUUUUUCAAUAAUACCCUCUCUUGGACUCUACCAAUUACACAUGGAAAUCUAAAGCAAAGAUUCGUAAUGAAAGUGGGAAGCAUUGUUAAACAACCAAAACAAAGAGAAAUAACUAUCCAACAACCAAACCACACAAACCAAACACACAAAAAUAAAAGACAUAAAACAAACAAAGUCUUGAAUCCAACUAAAAUAAAAGGAUAGAAUGCUCGUUCUUCGUCAUUUCCAUCAUCACCUCCUCCUCCACUACCACUUGCUCCAACUUGUUGCUCUCUCUGCAGUUCCUCCUAACUCGGUAUAUAUGGAUAAACAUGAGGAAAAUGAGUAGGUCGGGUCACAUGCAUUUGCUGCAUAAGGUGGUCUAGACCCAUGUUGGUGUUUUCUUCAGGGUCCCUCCUUUAUCUUACCUGCCUCAGAACUCGGCCUCGUGGAGUAUCUCUAGGAAUAGAAAAACCACCUAUCCCAUGAUCAACAAUGAUAUUUCCCCUCUUAUAAAGUAUUUUAGAGAAAGGUUUAUCGGGAUCCACAGUUAAAAAGACGACCUCACGCUUAUCAAGUACUCCUUAAGAACAUGCAAUUCGUGUGAUCAACAUACCCAUAUAAAGAAGAGAACCUCGUCUAUCCUUCCCUGCUCAGGACAAAAGAAAAUCCGCCAAUAAGAACACUAAGUCCACAUAAACAUAGGGUGUGAUAAGAGCCCAUAUGAAAAACACGCCAAUCGUCAGACACUUGUCCCCCUCCUAUCGCUGAUUAAUGGUGUUUAUGAUUAGCCAGUGCAAAAGACAAUGAAGAGGAGAGCGAAUGUCACUUUCUUGUGUAGUCCCCUUAUCGUAAGCACCAUUAACUAUUUCAUUCCAGUGUGUUUCAACCUUGAACCCCUCGGUAACACGAAUACCUCCAGCAAUAUAUUGUUGAUAAGCUUUGGAAUGGACCUCAGAUGGAAGAUAAAUUUGUGUCCUCAGCGCAAAAUUAGCAUGUCUUAAAGUACGACUUUCUCCACCAAGUCAAAAAUAAAGGUUGUCUUUAACAAAUAUUUCGUCCUUCCGUGCAAAAGAACUGUGUUCAGAAACUCGAUGACUAACUCCUUAUACACGACUUCCUGAAUUUCAAACAGCCUUGUCCAUCCCAUACAAACAAACGACCCUAGAAUGCUAUUGUAUGCUUUGUCCAAGUAUGGCUCAAUUCCCUCCAUUAACCCGGUUUGUCCCAUCCAAUGCCAAUCUACAACUGCAGGAACGUGGACUUUUCGUUGCUUCAUCCAAUCGAGUUUUGUAUUCUAUCUUGCGUAAAUCUUGGGCCCAACAGUCCUAGGAAAAGAAUACCAUGGAAAUUUGGGCCGUCUCUCGGGUUGUUGGCGUCGUGGAUGGCUAGCCAUUUCUGCAAAAUAGCCAAAAAGAACACAAGAGGAAACCAUCUGUAUGCAAAGAAUCAGAACAAAACAGGUUGUAUCAAAAAAUCUCACCACGACGUGUCGUCGUGGUCUACGUCCAGUCGAGUUCCAUGGUUUAAUCGGACCAUAUGCAACACCAUAUCAACUCAAUGCAACUUCAGGGUUUGUUCCAGGCAUGAAUUUAAGUAGAAAACUAACAAAAUCAAAUGAAAAACGUCAUUAAUUGGGUCCGAUUUUUGAAAAAAUCAAAACCCUAGGUUCCUAAUUUCGGGCCUACAAGUGCUCUAAUAGCAAAUGUAUACCCUUUACUAGCAUAAGAAGUGAUUAAGAGUAAUAGAAUCACACAAAAAUCAUAGCUUUUGUUUGAAAAGUGCAAGAAGUCGAGUAAAAGGCAAGGAUGUUCUUCGUGGGAGAUGGAACACGUCGACAGAGAGGCAGAGUAAAAGGUAACAAUGAUUUUAACUGGGGUUUAAAAACCCUAAUUUUACUACAGUUAAACCGACACCACGUCAUGGUGAAUUCACCACGUCGUGGUACUGCCUUGAGAAAUCUGUUAGCGGGUUUUGUCAAUUUACCACCUCGUGGUGAUGUUUUUUAGAAAUGUUCCAACUUAGUCAAAAUUUUAUAAAAAUCUACCACCCCACACUCAUUUUAUUCCAUUCCCCAUGUUGAAUUCCAUAAAAAUUCAGAAGAAUGAGAGUAUAAAUCAUUAAGUAAAAAGACCACCACGCCGUGGUAAUAUCCUCCACGUCGUCGUGUGUGUUGGGUAUUAUGUGUUGCGUCAUGGGCCAUUCUUUUGUAUAUCCGGUAUUGGGCCUGUCCAACCGUGAUUCUAGAUUAGGGUUACGUAUUAUAUAUAGUGCAUGCAUGUAUGCCUUAGUAUGCUAGUCAUUGAUUAUCUUUUGCAUUGUAACCCUAAACACCUCUACAGUCGAAGUUCUUCAUCGAGCUCUUCUGAGGUGUUAAAGUUUAAUCAUUCGACAUCAUUCAAAUUAUUCUUGUGUUCUUUAUUGUUUCAUUUAUUGUUUUUCUGCUUGAAUCUAUCGAUUAUUAAGGAAUAUUAUUCCAACAAUUGGUAUCAGAGCAGGAGAAUGUGUUACUCGUAUGCAUUCCUUCUAUGUGAAGAAUUCUUUAGGGUUUCCGCUUUUAUCAACUAUAAAAGGACCUUUACUUUAAGUUGACAACCUGGUCUAGUGUUUGAUAAAAACCCUAAUCUUUAGUUUACAAGUCUGAUUCUAGCAGAUCCGAAAAACAAGCUGAUCAUGUCACACGACGACUCUCAAGCUAAUCCCAUUAACAUCUCAAAUAGCAUUGGAUCCACUACAAGGGUUCCUAUUCUCUACACUCAAGACUACAAAGUAUGGGCGCAUCACUUUGAAGAUUAGAUGAUUGGAUCUGAAUAUAAUGGCUAUCUCAUCUGGGAAGCCAUUACGAUCGGUCCAUUCAUCCAUUCUAGAACAAACAGGGCAGUAAAGACUCAAAAGGAAUAUAAUCAGCUUUUAUUGGAAGUAGAAAAGAUACCACAAGAUGAAAAAUAUAAGCUGAUAUGUAAUCUCAAAGCUUUAAGGAUGAUCCAGUUUGCCCUGCAAGAAAACACCUUCCGUCAGGUCAGUUCAUGCUCUACUGCAAAAGAGAUAUGGGAGAGACUUAUAGAGCUGUAUUCAACCAAUGAAGAUCUAGAGCACUCAAUACAAACCUUGUUGCUCUCUGAGUUCAGUUCCUUUGCUCAAAAACCUGAGGAGACUCUUCUUUAGACGUUUGAUCGUUACAAUCAUCUACUUAGCAAGAUGAUGAAACAUGGUAUUGAAAGAAAGGAGAUUGAACAGAAAGUCACGUUUUUGAAUGGACUAAGACCUGAUUGGAUGGCAGUGGUCUCAAUUGUAAAGGCUCAUGAAUAGUUCAAGUCUUACUCACUGGCAAAACUGAUGGGCAUCCUAAAAUCCCAUGAAAGCACAGUAACAAAAGAAGCGAAGGUUGUGUCUGGCAUGGGCUCCUUAAUCCUUAUCUCGAAAGGGAAGACUGUGACAGAAGAAGAAGAUGAUUCAGAUUAUUCUGAGUGUGACCUUACAAGUGAAGAAUAUGCGAUGAUGGUCUCCAAUCCCAAGAAGUUUGCAAGAAUGAAAUUCCCUGCCAAUAAGAACCGAAACUGGCAAGGAAGCUACAACCUAGAGAAGGUGAAAGAAGAACUGAAGAACGUCAGUCAAAAGGAUGAUGAUAAGAAAGAAAGCAAGCUAGCAGGAGAUUCUGGAUAUGAUUGCAAUUAUUGUCACAACAAGAACCACUUUGCCAAGGACUGUAUGCUGAGAAAGAUGGCUGAGAAAAAGGAUGGUGAAGAUGAUGAAACCUAUUACCUGCUAAAGUUUGAUGAAAUAAAGAAAAAGAAAGCUACAAAUAGUUCAAUGAAUGCUUUAAUUGUGUGCAGGAGAAUCUGGAUGAUGAUGAGUUUGGUGUAGUUGAAGUCUGGUCAACCGACUCUGAUGAUGAAGAAGUAAGAAAGCCCUCGCAUGGUGGAGCAUAUAUGGCUAGAGAGGGAGUCAGCAGUUCGGGUGGGAAGUGCCUGAUGGUAUCUGCAGAAACACCAACCGAAGGUGAGGAUAAGGAGUCGAGUAUCAAAAGAGACAAGUGUUUUGCAGCCAAGCCCAUGAGCGAAAUGAUCAACGACUACGAUCGCUUGAUCAAAAAGGUACAAUCCAUCCUAGAAUCAUUGAAAGUUCCUGUCACUAAUUAUGAAGAAGAACUAAACAAACUAAAAUUUAAAUUUUCCAACUUAAGUGGUAGUCUCAUGCAAACCCGACUAGCAAAUUCUAACCUAACUGAUCAACUCAACAGGGAGUCUUCCAAGAGUGAGGAAAGGAGAGCAUAGAUACAGCUGAAGGAGCAAGAGUUAGCUAGGGCUAUUGAUGAGAUUAUUUAUUUGCAUAGAGACAAUUUGAAGUUUUUGAAACAACGAAAUGUUUUCUGUUUAAUUGCAAAACGCUUAUAUACUAACAUAACUCAACUUCAUCUUGAUUGUGAAAUAGGGAAAAAUAUUCAUAAGAUGAUUUUACCAUUUCUUGAAUUUAAGGAGGAUGAAGUUAUUGCUGAAUGUGAAUCAAUAAUGUCCUCUGACGAAAUUUCCGUCACUUAAAAAUAUGGAGUGGACAAAAUUGAGACCUUUAUCGACUCCAAAGAACACAAAAGUAUGCUUAAAAAUCUGUUGGAUGAAAAUGAUAAGUUGAAAACUAAGUCCAAAACCAUAUGAACAUUUGACUCGUCACAUGCCAAACUUUGUUCAGAUCAUAAAACAAAUGUCGAAAACACAUCAGAAUUCGAUGAGGAAAGUGAGUUGAGCGAAAUAUCAGUGGAAGAUGUAGUUGAUUGUUCUGAGUUCUUAAAGAGCGAAACCGAGAAAGAAGAACCCCUCAUAUUUGAAAACUCUGUGGAGUAUGCUCGCUUGACGAAUGACAAAUCCAAGAAACUCAAAGAGAAAGCAGUGAUUUACCAAAAUGUUUAAACCAUGCCAAAUCAGGUUUAUGUAGUCAUAGGAGUCAAAACAAACAGCAAAACUAAAAAUCUUGGUUGAUAAAGACAAUGCUGAAGGAUGUGAUAACUAUUUCUGGUCCGCUCCUAUUGAUAAUGCAGACGAGACCGUUGGUUUGUAAGAGCAAACCUCAUGGAGGGUAAAGGGCAGAUAUGUAGCAUAACCAAUCAACAAACCCUCAAGCUUUGACAAACCAAGCACAAGUGGAACCAAAGAGAUACCGGAAGAACCGGGAAAGAAACCAGAAGAAUCAAAGAAAACUUUGAAUUUCUCUCCUAAUUCAACCGAAGCUCAAAAGGAGAAGCAGAAGUCAAGCAUGAACAUUCAUAAAUCUCAACAGCAAUUGGCUGAACAGAAACGGGAAAGAAACCGGAGAUACAUGAAAAAUCUGAGUGAUCGAAAAAGGUUUUGGUAGUCUCAGAACCCUAACCACAUCCCUACUCAGAAAGAAACAAAUGUCAAAGGAAGUGACAAGUUCAAAAACAAACAGUCGUCUAGUUUCGGUCCGAACUCUUACUAUUCACGAAACAAUAAGCCCAGUUUCUGUACCCAUUCAAUUCAGAACCGAACUUCAGGUUUCUGUUCCUCUACCAAGAAUGAGUAUCGAAAGUUAGGUUUCGGUUAUACUCCAAGUCGUCAACAGACUCAUUCAACGAAGGAUGUUAAAAGAAAGGGAAAGCUUGACUCGAACACUAGCAUAAAUAAUACGAAAAAGUCUGACAAACCCACAACUCAAAAGAACAUUUCAAAACCAUCUAGCAUUACAUCAUCUGAAACUCUAAAAUUUAAACAAGACAAAAAUAAAAUUAAAGUGUACACCAUCAAAAGAAAAGAUGAAACAACUUUAAUAAAAAUAACAUAUUUAGUUGAUCUUUAUGUUCUUAUUCCCUUCUUUGUAAAAGACUUACCUGGGUCUUAAGAAACUUUGGGUUCCUAAAUCUACUUGAAUUUGCAGGUUAUCAGUGACGAGCAGUUCGAUGAUGAGUGAUAUAUUGACAGUGGCUGCUCAUGUCACAUGACAGGGAGAAAGGAAGAAUUGAGGGAGUUUCAGUCCCUUAAGGAUGGUGGAUGUGUGAAGUAUGGAAACAACUCUUAUGGUACAAUCAAAGGUUAUGGGAUGAUAACCAAUGGAGAUUUCACAAUUCGAAAAGUGGCAUAUGUUGAAGGAUUGCAGCACAACCUCAUAAGUGUAUCUCAGUUGGUUGUGGGAACAGGACUGAAAGUUUCCUUUGAUGAUGAAGGCUCAUAAAUUAUUGAAAAGCAAUCAAAAAGAGUCUUGUUAAAAUCUGAACGAAAGGGUGAAAUGUACCACCUUAAUCUCGGUCCAAUUAAAGGGAAACCAGCUAUAUGCCUACUGUCCAAAGUUAAUUCUAAUGAAAAAUGGUUAUGGCAACGACGGUUAUCACACAUAAACUUUAAAGACAUUAAUAAGUUAGUGCUUGGAGAUCAUGUUCGAGGCCUCCCUUUGCUCAAAUUUGAUAAGGAACACCUAUGUGCAGCUUGUGAGAAGGGAAAACAAAGCCGAAAGAUCCAUCCUACACGUAUCAACACCAGGAUCAUUGAAGCUCUUGAACUUCUACAUAUUGAGUUAUGUGGACAUUCGACUAUCGAAAGCAUUAGUGGUAGUAAGUUCAUACUUGUCAUUGUCGAUGAUUUUUCUCAUUUCACCUGGGUUUACUUUCUUAAACAGAAAUCAGAAGCAACACCCAAGUUAAAGAUGUUUAUCAAGCAACUGGAACCGCAGCUACGAAAAGUGGUAAGAAACAUCGGAAGCGACAAUCGGCUUGAAUUCAAGAAUAAAGAGUUUGAAGACUUUCUGGUCGAUAAGGGAGUAUCUCAUAACUUCUCUGCCCCCUAUACUCCACAACAGAAUGGAAUCGUUGAAAGACGGAACCAUUCCCUAUGUGAAGCAGCCAGAACCAUGCUGAGCUUCGCUUCCCUCCCAUUAUACUUCUGGGCGGAUGUUGUUGCCACUGCUUGUUAUACUCAAAACAGAUCCUUACUUAACAAGCGAUUCUCAAUCACUCUGUAUGAGAUUCUAAACAACUGAAAGCCCAACGUCAAAUUCUUUCAUGUGUUUGGUUCAAGGUGCUUCAUUCUUAACUCUAAAGAGAACCACAACAAGUUCGAUGUUAAAGUAGAUGAGGGAAUCUUUCUGGGCUUUUCACUCACUUCAAAGGCUUAUAGGGUUUUGAAUAAACACUCCAAACAUACUGAAGAAACCUAUUACGUAAUGUAACAUCCAUAAAUUUUACACCAAAUUUAAACUUUUUCAAUCAUAAAUAAAAAAUGAAAAGCAUCAUUUACAAAAUGUUUUCAAAUCAUUUUCCAUCAGAGUGUCCCAAAAAUCAUGACAUAAGGAUGAGAAGCAGCACGGUCAUGCCUUCGCCUUUCCAUGGUCUCCCGAAGUACCUAAAACAAUAAACUGAAAACUGUAAGCCCGAGGGCUUAGUGAGCUACCCCCAAAAUACCAAUACCACACUGACAAUACCAUAUCGGUAAUAAUCAAUAAAUCAUCAUGAAUACUGGGCCAUCGGCCUGACUGGACCGCCCUACCGAGCCUAAAGUCUGUAUGAAUCUAUCCCGAGCCUUUGGCAUGACUGGUCCGCCACGUGGGCCUACUGUCUCCCCAGACCGCUCAUAGGGUUUGUUGGCCUUCAGCAAAAAGCAGGACCGCCUCAACCCAGCCAACCAGCAAAUAACCAUGUGCGCAUAACUAUCAUAUACUAUCAUAUACAAACAUCAAGCAUAUCUAUCUCACUGAUCAUAAUCAUAGAAUUCUCUGUAACUAGAGUAGCGACCCAUCAGGUCACUCUAACAAACCAAUCCCUACGGAUCAUAAAACCAUAACAUAUUGUCUACCUCGAUUCCGAACAAACAAAUCAUAACCACAUGCAACAUACCAUAAAAAUAACAACUAAAGGGCCGGCCUUGGUGCCGUAGCCCCUAUCGAUAUAGUGAGAAUAACUCACCUUGCAGAUGUCGACACGAAAGGUAAACUCCAACUCUCGGAUCACUUGACAUAGGUUCCACCACCUAUCAUCAUAGUACAUCAUACUCAUAAGUCCUUAACCUUACAAGGUACUCCAUAAACCACUAGUCAACCCCUGGUCAAAGUCAAAGUCCUCAAUCAAUGUCAACAGUCCAUGUUGACCUUAACUCGCUGUGUACCCUUGCCUACUCACCGAGUUCCCUGAAGUACAUUCUAACUCGUCGAGUUCCUUUGAUCCUCGAUCAAACUUAAGGUCAUGCAUCGAGUUCCCUCCUUCCAACUCGAAAGAUACACACGCAUACAUAAUCUAGGGAAAACUCAUCCGACUCGCCGAGUUGUUCUUCAACUCAUGGAGUCUUAUGGUGAUCUUCAUCGGGCUUGCCGAGUUUUUCAUCCAACUCGUCGAGUUCAUGGUCAUCUUCAUUUGACUUGCCGAGUCAACCUUGUGACUCGUCGAGUCCAUUCAGUUCCUUUUCCAUAUAGACUUGAUUUGAGCCAUGCAGCGGCCCCAAAUCAUAGAUCCAAGCUUCUAGGGCAUACUUAUCACGUAAAGUUGCAAACUUUACGUGCAUGCAUGGCUAUAAAGGCUCUAAAUGUCUAUUUUAAGUUCUUAAUGAAGCUUCCAAUCUAAGAGGGACCUCAAUCACAACCAAUACAACAACUUUAUGAUUCUAGCAUCUAAGGAGGGUCCAGAUCUGAAGUUACAACCUCAGAUCUAGCCCCUAGAUCAUCCUUUCAACUUAAUACUUCACCAAAAACCCUAAAACUCAACAAUGGAAGAGAUUCACAAGAAGAAGGGUGAUUUGGUUAUCUCCAGAAGAUGAUGACAUAGAUAAGAGCUGAUUUCCACACUCCACUUGCUCUAAUACCCUUCUCCUCUAAGCCUUCUCUCUCCAAAAUCCUUUUUUCAAGCUUUAAACACACAAUGGCACACACACGCGCGCGUAUUGGGUUUUAAAGGCUCUCAAAAGACUGCAAAGAGGCCAAAGGAGGCUGAGGCUCCUUUAAAUAGAGGUGCAAACCCCGAGAUUUAGGGUUCCAUCUGCCAGCUCCUACUCGCAGAGUCAAGUUCAAGUGGGGGUGAGUUGUAACGCCCCGAUUCUCAGGUAUUAAUUUCAUAAGAAUUAUUGGAUGAGGCCCUACUCGACGAGUCGGUCGACCUACUCGUCGAGUAGCAGCGGGGUGGGACUGUGUGUUAAGUGACCUACUCGNNNNNNNNNNNNNNNNNNNNNNNNNNNNNNCCCGCUGCUACUCGACGAGUAGGUCGACCGACUCGUCGAGUAGGGCCUCAUCCAAUAAUUCUUAUGAAAUUAAUACCUGAGAAUCGGGGCGUUACAACUCUCCCCCACUUGAACUUGACUUCGCCCUCGAAGUCCACUGGAAUAAACAAUGUCGGGUAAUGCUCGCGCAUCUCCGACUCCGGUUCCCCAGUCCACUCGGAUCCUUUCCGAUGUUCCCAUUGUACCUUUACCAAAGGUAUUUCCUUGUUCCGUAGAAUCUUCUUCUUCCUUUCCAAAAUCGCCACAGGCCUUUCUACAUAAUUCAGUCGCUCAUCGACCUGAAUGUCAUCCAACGAUAGCACUGCGUCCUGGUCCAUAAUGCAUUUUCGCAAUUGCGAAACAUGAAAUGUGUUGUGGAUCCGGCUAAGCUCCUCCGGAAGCUCUAGCCUAUAAGCCACCAUGCCAACCCUAGCGAUAAUCCUGAAUGGCCCAAUGUAACGGGGACCCAAUUUUCCCCUCUUCCUGAAGCGGAUCACACCCUUCCAAGGUGAGACCUUCAGAAGAACCAUGUCACCCACUUGAAAUUCCAACUCAGACCGGCGUCGGUCGGCAUAGCUUUUCUGCCGGCUCUGAGCAGUAUGCAAUCGCUGUCUAAUCUACUAUAUCAUUUCGGUAGCUUGCAGAACUACCUCUGUCCGACCCAUCACUUUGUGCCCAACCUCGCCCCAACAGACUGGGGUCCUACACUUCUGCCCAUACAACAGCUCGAAAGGCAGGGCGCCAAUACUGGAAUGAUAGUUGUUGUUGUAGGCGAACUCUGCAAGCGGUAGGUGGGAGUCCCAACUCCCACCGAAAUCAAUAACGCACGCCCUCAACAUAUCCUCGAGGGUCUGAAUGGUCCGCUCACUCUGCCCAUCAGUCUGCGGAUGGAACGCCGUACUAAAAUGCAGUCGUGUACCUAGUUCCUCAUGGAACUUCUUCCAAAAACGGGAAGUAAACCUGACAUCUCGAUCGAAAACGAUAGAAACUGGAACCCCAUGGCGAGAGACAAUCUCCCUGACGUACAGGUCGGCCAACAUUUCUGUCGACGAACUUACCCUUAUGGCUAGGAAAUGGGCACUCUUGGUCAAUCGAUCCACGAUGACCCAUAUAGCAUCGAACCCCCUUGCGUCUUUAGCAACUUCAUGAUGAAAUCCAUCGUGAUCCGUUCACAUUUCCACAUGGGAAUCUCUAGAGGCUGCAACUUACCAUGCGGCCUCUGAUGCUCGGCCUUGACCAUCCUACAGGUCAAGCAUCUAUUAACGAACCAAGCGAUAUCUCGCUUCAUGCCAGGCCACCAAUAACUCAAACUCAAAUCAAGGUACAUCUUGGUGGCCCCCGGAUGAAUCGAAAAACGAGACUUAUGAGCCUCCUCCAUCACUGUCUGGCGGACCCCUCCGGACAUCGGAACCCAAAACCGACCGUAACGGGUCAACAAUCCGCGGCUAUCAUGAACAAACCUGUCGUUUUCACUCUUAAUCCUCUCCAACUUUCGGUUCUCUGGUCUCAUGCCCUCAAUCUGAGCAUCCUUGAUCAAACCCACCAGUGGGGAAUCCCCCGCUAUCCUCAUACACCUGGUUGGGGUCGUGGACCCAGCUAACUUGCGGCUCAGAGCAUCCGCAACCACAUUCGCUUUACCAGGAUGGUAAAGGAUCUCCCAAUCAUAGUCCUUGACCACAUCUAGCCACCUGCGCUGCCUCAUGUUCUGAUUCGGCUGAUCCAUGAUGUGUCUCAAACUCUUGUGAUCCGUGUACAUAGUGCAACGGACUCCGUACAGAUAGUACCUCCAAAUCUUGAGAGCGAAAACCACUGCACCCAACUCAAGAUCGUGCGUGGGGUACCUCGUCUUAUGCGGCUUCAGCUGCCGCGAUGCGUAAGCCACCACCCGUCCUCUAUGCAUGAGGACUGCCCCCAAGCCAGUGAUGGAUGCAUCACAAAAUACCACAAAAUCCUCCACUCCCUCGGGGAGUGUCAACACUGGCCCCUCGCAUAAACACUGCUAGAGGGUCUCAAACGCCCUCUGGUGCUCAGGGCCCCACCAGAAAUCCACUCCCUUCCUCGUUAGACGAGUGAGGGGUACAAAAAUCUUAGAGAAAUCACGAAUGAAUCUACGAUAGUACCCCGCUAAACCCAAGAAACUCCUGAUAUCAGAGGGAGAUUUCGGGGUCUCCCACUGCAUAACCGCCUCCACCUUGGCCGGAUCGACCAGAAUCCCCUCCUGGAUAACAAGGUGUCCGAGGAACUGGAUCUCCCGUAACCAAAACUCGCAUUUUGAGAACUUGGCAUACAACCGUUCUCGCCUCAGAAUUUCCAGCAGCUCCCUGAGAUGCUCCUCAUGCUGCUCUCGAGUCUUGGAGUACACCAAGAUAUCAUCUAUAAACACAAUGAACGAGCGAUCCAACAUCGGUCUACAUGCUCGGUUCAUCAGAUCCAUGAACACUGUUGGCGCGUUGGUGAGUCCAAACGGCAUCACCACGAACUUGUAAUGACCAUAACGAGUCCGAAAUGCGGUCUUCUCCACAUCUUCCUCCCUCACCCUGACCUGGUGAUAUCCUGAUCUCAAAUCAAUCUUGGAAAACCAAGAUGCACCCUGCAGCUGAUCGAAAAGACCGUCUAUCCUCGGAAGCGGAUAACGGUUCUUCACCGUUAACUUGUUCAGCUCCCUAUAGUCAAUGCACAUCCUGUGCGAGCCGUCCUUCUUCCUGAAGAAAAGGAUCGGUGUUUCCCAGGGUGAACUACUCGGACGAAUAAACUGCUUACCCAGCAGUUACUGCAACUAAGAUGACAACUCCUGCAUCUCUGGCAGUGCCAGUCGGUACGGCGCCUUAGUGAUAGGGGCCGCACCUGGCACUAGGUCAAUCCUAAACUCAAACUGCCUCUCCGGAGGCACUCCGGGUAACCCCUCUAGAAACACAUCAGCAAACUCCCUCACCACGGGAACCUCAGAAACUGAGAGCGGCUCUCUAACCCGCGUAUCUAUGACAUACACCAAAUAACUGGCGCACCCGUGCUGAAUAUACUGUCGAGCCCUGGCUUUCGAACAAAACCUUGAUCCUAACCUGGUUCCCUCACCAUAUACUACACGUUCUCCCCCACUUGGGGUUCGAACCACCACGCACUGCCCCUCAUAAUCGAUCAUGGCGCCAAAACGGCUAAGCCAAUCCAUCCCUAUAAUCACGCCUACAUCCCUCAUGGGAAUGGGAAUCAAAUCUAUCGGGAAGAGCACCCCGAAAAUCUCCAACUCGCAUCCCCAGAAGACCGAAGAAGCAGAGACCCCGUGUUCGUUGGCGAUCGAAACUCGCUACAGACACUCAAGAUCGUCUAUCGGCACACUGAACCCUCUAGAGAAGGUCUAAGAUACAAACGAUCGACUCGCCCUGGAGUCAAAUAAUACCAAAGCAGGCAAAGAAUUCACUAAAAACAUACCUAAUCACAGGUACAAUCAAUAAGCAUAACACGAAUACAAUAACUGAGACAAAGAAUAGAAAACGUACCAGCAACCAGAUCCGAUGCUGACUUGGCCUCCUCGGCCGUGAGCUGGAAGGCGCGACCCUGAGCCUUCGGAGGCUCCACCUUGACUGGCCUCCCAUCUCCAAUCCUCCCAGCAGCUGGCGCGGAACCCUGCGCCGGCUUGGCGGCGAGAUGCGGACAGUUGGUCUUCACAUGACCAACCUGAUGACAAUGGUAACAAAUCCUCAUAUCUGUUGGAGGGGCGGGCAGACAGCAGUCCCUGGCAUAGUGCCCCUCCUUGCCACAUUUGUGGCACCCACCUCCUGCUCGACAAACCCCCGAAUGAGCCUUGCCACAAUUUCCACAAGUGCGGCUCUGAUGACCCCCGGACCGUGUAUCAGCGGUUUUACACCGCUAAGGUGCCGGCUGAGACUGUGUCGGUGCCUGACACUGCUCCUUCAGCUGCAGCUCUAUCUCCAACUUGCGUCGCUGCAUGGCUUCCUGAAGGUCUAGGAGGGUAUCACAUUGCUGAGUAGACACAAACUGUCGAAUAUCAGUCUUGAGCAUACUCAGAUAAUGAGUCAUCUGAGACUGCUCUGAAGCAAACUUCGAGCAAAACAUAGCCCUCUCCAUGAACAUAUGGGUAAUCUCCAUCACAGACUCCCCAUCCUGUCUCAAUGUCAAAAACUCCUACGCAAGCCACUCCCGCUGAACGCAUGUAACUUUGCGGGUGCUGAACAUAUCUCUGAACUGCUCCCAAGUAACGGCACCCCGCUGAUCAUCAGUAUACGACCCAGUCGUCAGCCUCCACCAGGCCUUUGCCCCAAGCCUUAGCAGGUUCAAGGCACACCUGACCUUUUGGUCAGCAGGACAUGAGCAUGUGAAGAAACAGCCCUCCAUGUCAGAUAACCAUCUCAUAGCCCUAAUCGCAUCCUGUGUACCAUCAAACGUCGGGGGCUUCAUAUUAUCGAAGUCCUGGUACUGGAAAGCCCUGCCGGCUCCUCCUCCAACCCCUGUCGCGGUUACAGCUAAAGUGGUUGCAAUGGCAGCUGUCUCUGCUAGAGCUGCAUAUCGCUCAUCAAAAUACUCAACCAUCGCAGUCUUAAUCGACCCAAACACCUCUGGCAGCUGCGCUCAGAACGCGACAACAAUCUCGUCGUGCAUGAUCUCCUUGAUCCUGGCAUCCAACUCAUCGGUCCCUAUAUGAACCACGGGUUCAGGUGCUACCGGCACCUCCAACCCUCCGUCUCCCGACCGCGAUCCUGAUCCAAAUCCCGAAGCAACACGUCUCGUCACCACCAUACUGGAAUAUAUACAUACAAUUCAUCAGAUAAAUAACAUAAUGUCGGGGGACCAAAACCCUAAGGGUUGUGAUUUCCUUGCUACGUGUAUGGGUCCUGCGCUUUCAGUAGUACGGGCCCAUACUACCUUCCACACCUACCCAUAUUUGUCUCACGUAUCAUCACAACGCCCUAAUAGUAUCAUCAACAUAGGAAUGCGCCCGACCCUCACUUCUAGGGGAAUACCAAAUAUCUCGCAUCUAGCCUCACCACUUAUCACAACUCUCACAUCCAUGAAAUUUCCAUCAUCCCCUGCAGCGACGGUGUACGCUAGCUGCACGUAAUGCUGGACCCCAUAGACUUUCGAAUAUCUAAUCCUACACUAAGGUCGAAUCAGACAUUCUCAGGCUAUAAGAUCUUGAUUAUACACAGUCGUGAUGCAUACACCAAACAUCUACAAGAAACCCUAGGCUAAUAGGCAUCAUAUAAUCAGGAAAGGCUAUCAUGCGAUUCCUGAAGAUCCCUAGCCUAGCACUAGCAUGUUUUUCUAACAUAUCAGAAUAUCAAAUAACCGUAUGUUAUGUUGGGGUUCACUUAUAGGCUCUGGCUGAUCGUACCCUCUGCAUCCUCCAUCCUUAUUUUGAAAACCAUUUUAAAACUUAUGUUCCGAAAAUCUCCUUGAUUUGAGACUGGAUUCACACGAGUGUUCCUCCAAUUCACUCAAACCAAGGCUCUGAUACCAACUUGUAAGAUCCAUAAAUUUUACACCAAAUUUAAACUUUUUCAAUCAUAAAUAAAAACUAUAAAGCAUCGUUUACAAAACGUUUUCAAAUCAUUUUCCAUUAGAGUGUACCAAAAAUCAUGACAUAAGGAUGAGGAGUGGUACGGUCACGCCUUCGCCUUUCCAUGGUCUCCUGAAGUACCUGAAACAAUAAACUGAAAACUGUAAGCCCGAGCGCAUAGUGAGCUACCCCCAAAAUACCAAUACCAUACUGACAAUACCAUAUCGGUAAUAAUCAAUCAAUCAUCAUGUAUACUGGGCCAUCGGCCUGACUGGACCACCCUACCGGACCUAUAGUCUGUCUGAAUCUAUCCCGACCCUUGGGCAUGACUGGUCUGCCAUGUGGGCCUACAGUCUCCCCGGACCGCUCAUAGGGUAUUUUGGCCUUCAGCACAAAGCAGGACCGCCUCAACCCAACCAACAAGCAAAUAACCAUGUGCGCAUAACUAUCACAUACUGGCAUAUACAAACAUCAAGCAUAUCUAUCUCACUGAUCAUAAACAUAGAAUUCUCCUGUAACUAGAGGACCGACCCAUCAGGUCACUAAUAAACCAAUCCCUACGGAUCAUAAAAGCAUAACAUACUGUCUACCUCGAUUCCGAACUAACAAAUCAUAACCACAUGCAACAUACCAUAACAAUAACAACUAAAGGGCCGGCCUUGGUGCCGUAGACCCUAUCGAUAUACUGACGAUAACUCACCUUGCAGAUGUCAACACGAAAGGUAAACUCCAACUCUCGGAUCACUUGACACAGGUUCCACCACCUAUCAUCAUAGUACAUCAUACUCAUAAGUCCUUAACCUUACAAGGUACUCCAUAAACCACUAUUCAACCCCUGGUCAAAGUCAAUCACAACCAAAACAACAACUUUAUGAUUCUAGCAUCCAAGGAGGGUCCAGAUCUGAAGUUACAACCUCAGAUCUAGCACCUAGCUCAUCCUUUCAACUUAAUACUUCACCAAAAACCUUAAAACUAAACAAUGGAAGAGAUUCACAAGAAGAAGGGCGAUUUGGUUGCCUCCAGAAGAUGACGACUGAGAUAAGAGUUGAUUUCCAAACUCCACUUGCUCCAAUACCCUUCUCCUCUAAGCCUUCUCUAUCCAAAAUCCUCUUUUCAUGCUUCAAACACACAAUGGCACACACACACACACAUAUUAGGGUUUUAAAGGCUCUCAAAAGAUUGCAAGGGGGCCAAAGGAGGCUGAGGCUCCUUUAAAUAGGGGUGCAAACCCCGGGAUUUAGGGUUCUAUCUGCCAGCUCCUACUCGCCGAGUCCCAAAGUGGACUCGUUGAGUAGGUCACUUAACACGCAGUCCCACCCCGCUGCUACUCGAUGAGUAGGUCAACCGACUCGUCGAGUAGGGCCUCAUCUAAUAAUUCUUAUGAAAUUAAUACCUGAGAAUCGGGGCGUUACACGUAACCUUUGUUGACCUCUACAUAAAGAAAGCUCAAGCAAAAGAAAGUGCCACGGGGGAAAUUUUUCCCGAAUUAGGACAGGUCUCGGUUCCCAUUUCAAAUUUGUUCGAAGAAUAUAUGAGGUUAUUUGAUGAACCAGAAAAAGCUACACACUCAGAGGAAAAUGUAGCUGACAACAAAAUCGACCAUCUGAAAAAGAUUAUCAAAGAUGCUGCAAAAGACAUGGAAAAGGAUUCUUCAAACCAAGCUAAUGAUUAACCCUUCAAAGAACCUCCAAAUAACAACGAUGUAUUCGAGGGAGAGAGCUCAUCUGUGUCUCUUCCAACCGACAAAGAGAAUCUAACUCCAACCGAGGGGGAGGAUCCUGAACUUGACAAGGAACACACUUUGCCAUUUGAGGGGGAGAAUGAAAAUUCAAUGACGAAGAUGAUCGAUCAGAAUUUGAAGAAGAGGUAAAUGCAGAGUUGGAUCCUACCUAUGACCCCAACUACCCUCCUCUAACAAAGUGGACUAAAUAUCAUCCCAAAUCACAAAUAAUAGGAGAAUCAUUUGAAUGCGUUCUCACAUGUCCUCAACAGAAAGCGAAACAAAUUGUGUUAUUCUCUCACAUUGAAUUUUACAUGUUUAAUUCGUUUGUCUCUAAAAUCAAACCAAAGACGGUCAAUACUGCACUUGAUCAUUUUGAUUGGGUACAGGCAAUGCAAGAUGAACUCCAUGAGUUUGAACGCAAUCGAGUUUGGAGACUAAUACCCACUCCAAAGGAUGCGUCUGUGGUAGGAUUGAAGAGGGUCUUUAGGAACAAGAUGGAUAAAAUAUAAGACACGGACUGAAAGGCAUUUUUAUUAACCAAUGGGUCCUAUUAACUUUUUUUCUUGGAUUAAAUAUAAGACAGGGACCAGAAGGCAUUUUUAUUAACCAGGAGGCUUACAUGAAGAAUCUAUUAGAAAAAAUUGAAAUGAUGGGUUACUCGAAGGUGAAGGUUCCUAUGGCGUUUGUCACUAAGUUAACAUCAUCUCUGGAAAAGCCUGCAGUCGACAUAACUCUUUAUCGACAGAUGAUUGGAUCGCUCAUGUAUCUAACUUCUAGUAGACCAGAUAUUAUGUUCUCUGUCUGUUAUUGUGCCAGGUUUCAAGCUAAUCCAAGAGAACCUCACAUGGUGGCAGUGAAGAAUAUUUUUCGCUAUUUGAAGCGAAAUUCGUCGCUCGGUCUCUGGAAUCCAGCAAAAUCAGGUUUAUUUGCUCAAGCCUUUUCUGAUGCUGAUCUGGGUGGAUGCGGUCUGAACCGAAAGAGCACAAUUGGUGGAUGCCAAUUUCUUGAUGGAAAACUUGUUAGCUGGCAGUCCAGAAAGCAAACCUGUGUGUCUCUCUCAACAGCCGAAGCUGAAUAUAUUGAUGCUUACUCAUGCACCUCUCAGUUGAUCUGGAUACAUAGCCAAUUAAGAGACUAUGGACUAAGUAUGAAGAAGAUACCUCUUUAUUGUGAGCCUGAAAGUGCAAUAAGAAUAUGUCACAAUCCAGUGCAACACUCAAAGACCAAGCACAUUGCUCUGCGAUAUCAUUUUAUCAAGGACCAUGUUGAAGAGGGAAAUGUAGAAGUUCAUUUUGUUUGAUCCUCAGAUCAAGUUGCUGACAUAUUCACUAAAACCUUACCUGAAGCAAGCUUCAACAAAAUUUUACAAGGUUUGGGAAUAAUGGAAGCAGAAUCAGUACCGAAUCCACAAACCUCUUUCUAAGAAUUAAGUUAAGCGAAAUAGAGCGAACAUUCAGUCUAUUUAUGUUCCAGAUUUUUCGGGAACCAAAAUGAACCGAACGCUCGGUCUAUUUCUGCUCCAAAAUUUUCGGGAACCGAAAUGAACCGAUCGCUCGGUGUAUUUCAGCUAUGGAAUUUUAAGGAACAAUAAUGAACCGACCGCUCGGCUUAUUUCACUUCAUUUAUUUAAGGUUUGUGUUCGGCUAUAUACUUCGUAAUCUUUUUCUUAUUUAUUUUCUCUACUUUAUUUUUAAGACUUUCUUAUCUUUUUUUGUAUUAUUUUCUUUUUAAAUAAAAAAUCCAAAAAUCUUUUUCUAUUUUAUUUUAUUAUAUUAUUUUUUUUAAAAGUGUUUUUUUUGUUUCUUUUGUUUGUGUGUAUGGUUUGCUUCUUUCUGUGCAUUCUCUAGGUGUUGUGCAUUUCAUAGCUACAAAAGUUGGGGUGAGGCAGGGAUGAUUUUCUUAUCUUGAACUAGUUAAGCGUCCCUAGAAGCGUGCUGUUGCAUGUAGUCUGAAGCCUCAAUGACUAUGAGUGAAGCCUUAAUGAACUGAUUCUACCCAUCGGUUCUUCCCAAUCAGGCUGCUAAAUUCACUUCCGUUCUGAGCUACCUUUCUCCUCUCAAAUUAGUAAGGAGAGUUCUGCUUUGUCAAUAUUAUAUAGCAGAGGUGUUUUUGGUUCUUUCAACUCCCCCUCCUCUAAAAAUUUCUCCAUCACAUAUCAUUUCAUAAAUGUUACCCUUGAGACUCUCAGACAUAACCACUGAGGUCUAUGGUUACACAAACUCUAUGUUUAUGAUCUUGGAUGCGUACACCACGUGUUAAGUGAAACCCAAAAUCCAACACCUUUAUAGAGUUGAUGGUGAAUUUUAAUAUUCAAGCUUUAACUUGUUACCUAAAGAAGUCUCAUUUUAUUUUCUUGCGUGAUCUUUAUGAAAUUGUCUAACACCAAGCCAUUUCUUCCCAAAAGAUCCAGUUUAGUUUUUGUUUUUGAGAUUUCUAUUCUAAAUUCUAUUACUUCCCACCUAUCCAACGUACCUGUUCAACAGACCACAUCGGUCUCACAAGCACCUCUUCCAACGUUCGGUCUUAUGUUAAGCAUCGAAGUUCGGUUGAAGCUUAGCCACACUCUAAAGCCUAUGAUUAAAAAGAAGCUUUUCAAUGUUUCUUAAAAAAUAUUUGAUCAUAUUCUCAUGGGAAACCACACAAGCACUUCAAGUCUCUAUUGACUUUGAAGGAAGAGAUUCAUGCAUGGGAUCCUCAUCUUUAUGUCAUAUUUGACAUCACUCACAUCCCAUACACUUAUUGCUUUAUUUCUUUUUCUUUGGCACACUAAUGCAUGAGAAUCUUCAUGAUUUUCCACCUCUCUUGUAUGUGUCGCUUAUGAAUUUUCAUGAUGUUGUUGAUCGGAUAAGAAGUUCAAACGUAUUUUUGGAUAAGUUCAAAACAGGGCGCGUGAAUUUGUAACGGCUCCUAAUAUCACGCCUGCUGACGUCUAUCUGGGGAAACCAAACUGUCACAUCCCUACUUUCCAGGUGCCUUUUCAGAGAUUGUAUCAUCAUUAUAACAAGAUUUUUCUCUUUCUCCUAGGAACAGUAUAUAAAUAAUUUGUGGCACUGUUCCAUCUUAUUACCUUCCUCACAACUCUCUUAAGUAUCACAGGCAACGUUCAACUGUUCAUCUUCUUCACAAAGCUCAACAAUGGAAGAUUUUUCAUCUAUUAAGGAUCAAACUGUGUCGUCAUCCCUGCUUUCGAUCAAGCCCAACCAGAAUAUGAUCAUUCAGAUGACUCCAUUCUUGUAUUAUCAUUACAUGCUUCAAGUCGUAGAAUGUCUCAAGUAUUCCCCUCUCGUAAUCGCUCUAACUAAAGUGGAAUCCGUUCCCAUGUCAUUCUUGUCUCAAGUAUACUCCACAGUCCAUUACGACAAAAUCAAAGAGCGCAUCUACUUUCAUAUUCAUACUCACAAAGCUUCGAUUUCCAAAGGAUGAAUUUGCUCUCUUCUAGGGUUUGCAGUAGACGCCUCAGUCAUCUCCCCAGACUUCAUCACCACAACUCAAUUGUUCUAGAUGUUCUAUGAGAUGGGAUACACUGAGGUCCUUACUGUUGGGUUUUGAGCAUUCUAACACUCCUAAGUGUACAUGCAACCCUAAAUACCUUGGAUCUAUGUUUUCUCUAUUAUACAUGCAAAUAAGAACUUUCCAAGGUAUUAUCCUAAUCUAGCAUACAAAACAAUGAAUAUAACAAGAUAGAAUACAUACAUCUUUGAUGUAGAAAGUCUUCAUGAAGCUUGAGUGCCUAGUGCCCCAAGUGUGACACCUCAAAUGGUUCACACGACAUCAAUUACUUUUUGAAUAACCUUGAGAGAAAUGUAGAACACUUGAAAUCGGCUAGCCCUUCUAUAGAAUACUACUAGUGCCGAUUUUGGUCAAGAAUAAGAUGCAUAUAUAGUUAGGGUUACACCAUGUAAACCCUAAUUGACAUGGCCUUUCAUUUCCAUGAUCCAUGGGUACAAAAACACCAUGGAGCAUCCAUAGAGCAUCNCUUGAUUAUCCAUGGAGCAUUAGCCCACUAUACAAGUAUGGAUGAUUUACACAAUCAACCCAUAUAUUUAAUUAGUCUUCUUUUGAUCACUUAAUUAAUCCUAGAUUAAUUCUUCAUCAAUACUAAUUAAAUAAUCUUAUUAUUCUUAUUAUUAAUAUACUAGAACUUAUAAUAUAAUAAUAACCAUAAGUGUCUUAUUUCUCUCAUUAUAUUUUAUCCAAAUGCAUGAUGCCAUGCAACCCAAAUGGACCAUGUCGGGUCGGGUCAAGUCUUACCAAUUAUAGUUAUGGACUUAGACAUUAAUCCAACAGUCUCCCACUUGGAUAAGUCUAAAACUAUUAUUGCGUAUGACUUCAGGAACCAACUGGCAAUCGUAGCUCUCAAAAGCUUCUGUCGAACUCUGACCUUGUAGAUGAACUCUGACCUUUGUCAAUGACUUGUCCAUUAGAUAAGGGAUCAUAUAUUCCUCCAUUCUAGAUAUCAUAUGGACUGAGACAUGGAUUAUAAUCAUUCUCUCUGUCCAUUUGUUGUUUCCCGAUUUCCGAUUUAUGACGACUGACUAAUUGAACAAAUCAAAUCAGUCCUGGCCCGGCCGAGCACUUCCAUUUGUCAUCAUCAAAUCAUCGAGGGGCCCACAGAUAUCGCUUUUAUCCCGAAGGUAAAAGGAAUGGAUAAACUUCGACUCAUAUGGCUUGUUCUACUACUUGUUGAAUCAUACACAAAGGCACGUUUUAUAGCACCGAGUUACCAAAUGCGUUUUCGUGCAAUCAAUGUACUAUCAACUCAUAGUAACAACUCAUAUCUCUAGGUUUGAAGAAUAUAAGAUAUUAUCGUCUCAUGAUCACUCGUGAUAAAAUCCAUGAAGUGAUUCCAAUGAGCGCGGGUUGAAUCCAAUACUCAGAACUUAUGAGCACUCAUGAUUGUUGUAGCCUUGUCCAACACCUUAGACCUCUACAACCCAUCAUGACAGUCUUAAUUCAUAUCUACUUCCAACAUAUGACCGACUGUGGAUGGUUUGAAUAACUUAGUCAUUCCGGAAGAAUAACCCAGUUUAUUCGGGAAGUCAAAACAUGCAAAGUGAAACACAAUAAUAAUUGAAUCCAAUAUGGUAUCAACCCUUUGAACAUAAAUAAAACACCUUUUAUUUAUCACCAUAUGAUUACACAUUAUUCAUUGUAUACUGUUUCAGCUAUCAACUUUAUUCUUGAAUUUAAAACAAUAGUUGUCCCAUGCUCCAAGCAUGUACACUAUGUUUUCUUAAACACUAGUCAUGCCACACACCAAGUAUGCAUACUAUGUUUGUCUAUGAUCUUUACUUUGUGAACUAGAUCAAUUGAACAUAACUUCAAUGAUUCUCUUUUCACACUCCCAAAUCCUUACUGCAAAUGCAAGAAUUCCAAAUUCAUGCCAUUUACUGAAAUCUGUUAGAUUCUAAACUUAUAUGCAUUGAUCCUCUUGUAAUGAUUAUGCACAAAGUCAGAAAGACUUGACAACAAUCAUUACAGAGUAUUCCAAAGGAGAUCAGCUCCUUGGAAACAUCCUUCUUGCAUUAAGUUUCCUAAUCUUAAACAGAUUGAAAAUUCUAACUUUGAAACAUUUCCAGAUUCCAUUUUGACUAUCACUUCUGAACAAGAGUUGCCUCCUUACAGAUUAUGUCAAUAUGGUCCUUCCAGAAUUAUCACUAUACUUCCAACUGUCCUUGAGCAACCAAUCUUUGGUAAACCUUAGAUUGUCCUCGACAAUUGUUUAAUCCUUUUAGUCAUAUCCAGUUCUAAACCUUUUCCCUUCUUAAUGCCCCAGGCAUUUGGAAAAUUUUAGAACGGAUGAAUAUAGCACAUGUAAUCGAUCCUAUAUCCGAAGCAUAUGGGACACGAUUCAUGAUGUCUUACAUAAAGACUAAACCAGUCUUUUGCUAUAAUAUUUCCAUUUCAAUUUGCCAAGUUCUCAUAAUUCAGAUUAUGAAAAGGGAUGCCGUAAUCAUAAUCGAAUUUUAGAACGCAAAUAAUGGACCCAUAUACAGAAUUUCCUUAUGUUGAGCCAUUCCAACAUGAAAUUCAUAUAUAUCCUUGACUAAAUGAUUAAAACCUCACGAUCUAAGCUUAUAGAUUUGAGAUGAAGUAUAAUUUCCUCUCCCUUAAUUAUAGCAAAACAACUUUUUCCCAAUUGAAACUUUUGUUUUCUAUAAUUAACAUUGCUAACUUGCAAUACUUAUCAUAAUUAUCAUGCUCCCACUAACAUGAUGAUUAUUAGCAUAACACUUAUGCUCCCACUAGCUUUGACAUGUACUCAGAAAUCAGCUGGACUUCUAGAAAUCAAUACUUCAUUGACUUUCUUACCAAAGUUCAGAUUUCUGAUGCUAGAUUGUUUUGAUAAAGCUGUAUCAAAAUCAUACACCUUCCCUUAGAUAGCACACUUGUGUAUCUAAACAAUUAUGAAGAGGGAUGCCGUAAUCAUAAUGUUUAGACCUUUUUGCCACUUCUCACAAGUCCAAAUUAGUGUGCCGGUUAACCACACGCGCUCCACUAACGACUUUGAGAAUGCAAAUAUCACAAUUGCUAUCUAGCUAAAAUCUACUUAGUGAAAGUGUUUCCUCACCAUCAUUUUCAUGAAUCGGAGAGAAACCUUAUGACACUUAGAUUUAAUGGUGUAUGUGUUCUUAUCCAUGUGAAUUUUCAAGACCAUAGUCACAUUACAAGGAUAAUGGCAAAUCCAAACUCAUAUGGACUGAACUCAAUCUUAAUUUCUUGCCACCUGGCAGCUCAAGGGCCUGCCAUUGCUUCCAAGUUGUUGUGCAACAAAUUGAGAACUCUAAGAACUCAUAUGCAAAGCCAACUUUAACUGGAAUGGGCACAGAAUAUGUCAACACGAUAGGUUAUAAACCUCAAGUCGUGUGCUAGUGAAGAACUUCAGGUUUUAUUCUUGAUUAGUUCUUGAGACUUUCAAGACCUUUAAGACUCCCACUGUCCUCUUGACAUAUAAGACUUUCUUGUCAGAUAUUCAAGAGAUAGUGUGGAUUCUAAUCAAGACAAACACUUCACACAAUUGGCCUAAGUUGGUCUUUGUUUUAUCAAAAACAUCACAACAUACCAAUUUCAAAUGUACAAUAGUAGAAAACUUUUACACCUACAUUUGACAAGUGUUUUAAACCCUCUUUAAGACAUGUCACUUAAAAUACAAUCUUGUAGUAUGACUCUAAGACUUGUAUUGGAAUGAAGUAUGACUCAUCUUCUUGAUUUAACCAUUUCAACAAUUCAAGAUCCCUCUUCUUAGUCAUAAGAAUGCACUAAGAUUUCCUUAGAGAACUAAUUGUGCUAUGGUUUCUUAAUCAUUAAGAUGAUCACAAAACUGAUACUAAAGUACUCUCCCAUCUUUUCAGAUUUGAGAAACUUUUAUCUUUCUGCCUAAGUUGAUUCUUCUUAUUCGCUCUGCCUUACAUUGGAACCUUUUCCAAUGUCUCAGAAUUACACUUAAGCUUGUAA
rnacentral:lncRNA from 1 species